AGCGAACGCUGGCGGCAGGCUUAACACAUGCAAGUCGAGCGGGCAUCCUUGUGGUGUCAGCGGCAGACGGGUGAGUAACGCGUGGGAACGUGCCCUUCGGUUCGGAAUAACUCAGGGAAACUUGAGCUAAUACCGGAUACGUGCGAGAGCAGAAAGGUUUAUCUGCCGAAGGAUCGGCCCGCGUCUGAUUAGCUAGUUGGUGAGGUUACGGCUCACCAAGGCGACGAUCAGUAGCUGGUCUGAGAGGAUGAUCAGCCACACUGGGACUGAGACACGGCCCAGACUCCUACGGGAGGCAGCAGUGGGGAAUAUUGGACAAUGGGGGCAACCCUGAUCCAGCCAUGCCGCGUGAGUGAUGACGGCAUUAGGGUUGUAAAGCUCUUUUCUCCGGGACGAUAAUGACGGUACCGGAGGAAUAAGCCCCGGCUAACUUCGUG
rnacentral:rRNA from 1 species